UUUCCCCUGCAGCCUGUGAAGAACCCAUGCUGGAGCAGAUGGAUAUUCUGGAAGGACUGCAGCUAAUGCAGAAUCCAUGCUGGAGCAGAUUUUCCUUGACAGGAGUUGUGGCCUGUGGAGACCCCAUGCUGGAGUAGAGGAAAAGGGAUGUAGCUCUAUGAUAUGUGUCCUUUGUCAGUCAUUCCUGACCCUACACAGCAGUUGGUGACUUCGUUUCUUGCCAGACCUCUUAGCAGCUUCACUGAGCCAUGGACUUGGAGCCUGCAAGCUGUCAGCAGGACUUGCAUUUCUUCCUCAGCCUCACAGGCAAGGUGAGGCUGUGCUGGGGAUUGGGGACUUGCAAAGCCCUCACAGGAUUGGAAGUAGGUUAUCUCAGAUCAUCCCUGCUUGGCAGGGUCUUCUUGGAGAGACUGCCUCGACACAAAGGCUUCCUCUGUCCCCACCAGACUUGGAUGAGCUGGGAGUCCUGGAAGCUCUGGGUCUGUCACUGGGACUGUUUAUGUCAAACUGAUUGGUUUUCUGGGACCUGGGCAAUAUGAAAUGAAAAGUCAGUUUCAGAAGAGGGAAAACAGUUCAAA